rnacentral:lncRNA from 1 species
UUUUCUCUUCCUUCCUCAUAUUCAAAUUCUUACUCUCCCUUUCCUCCCCUCUCUUACAUUUCUUUAGUUUCUUUUCCUUCCUCCCCUUCGCAUUCUGCCGUUCCUCUCACUCUUCAUCAUUCUUCUGCUGUUGCGGAACUACACACAUCGAAGCACUGCUUUAACAUCAUAUAAUAGUCCGUGUGCCAAAUUAAUCCGGCUGCCCACUUACAUUUUUGACCAAAGGGUCAGUUACGGAAUCAAAUAUUUUCACUCUGAAAUCUUUUUCAACGCAGUAAAGAAAUCUGCUCCGGUGUUGGGGUUUGAGUUCGGCCCCUGAACCACUUAUUUAUGCUACUGUUGUGUAUGUGUAGCGAAUGACUACAUAAUGUAUCAGUGAUGUAGUGAGUCCCGUGCCAGAACCUCCCGGACUUUAUUUACCUCCUUGGUAGAAACAUACAUACACAGCUCUGUGUGUAUGUAUGUUUCUACCAAGGAGUCUUACCGCCUCAACCUCCACCACUUCUACCACAACCACCACCACGGCUCGCUGAUGGAUUCCCUUGGAACAUCGACCCCCUUUUUCUUUUUUGACCUGUUUUGGUCUCUUUAUCUGACCCCUUACCUCUGGCUAUUUUACACGGGAUUACCAGCAGGCGCCGGCCAUGGGCAAUGCAGCGACGGCAAAGAAAGGGGAUCCAGCCGAAAACGGUAGGUGUCCGCUGGGGAUCGAAACCUUCACCCACUUUAUACUAAAUAUCUCUCAUCCGCUUCCUCUAUCCUUUCCACACAUUGCCACAUCGAUUUCCAACCCCG